AUUGAACGCUGGCGGCAGGCCUAACACAUGCACGUCGAACGAGUGGCGGACGGGUGAGUAAUGUCUGGGAAACUGCCUGAUGGAGGGGGAUAACUACUGGAAACGGUAGCUAAUACCGCAUACCAUCAGAUGUGCCCAGAUGGGAUUAGCUUGUAGGUGGGGAAAUGGCUCACCUAGGCGACGAUCCCUAGCUGGUCUGAGAGGAUGACCAGCCACACUGGAACUGAGACACGGUCCAGACUCCUACGGGAGUCAGCAGUGGGGAAUAUUGCCAAAUGGGCGCAAGCCUGAUGCAGCCAUGCCGCGUGUAUGAAGAAGGCCUUCGGGUUGUAAAGUACUUUCAGCGGGGAGGCGUUACCCGCAGAAGAAGCACCGGCUAACUCCGUGCCAGCCGCCGCGGUAAUUC
rnacentral:rRNA from 1 species